AAGCUACUGCUUUAAAACCAACGGUAGGAUUCACGUCAACGUCGUCAAGGGAAUCUGAAACGUCUGGUUUGGUUACAGUCAGUCUUCAAAGAAGUGUUGAGACAAGCAUAGAGACAAAAGUGACGAUCGAUUUAGGCGGAACUGCAAAAAUAAAUAGUGAUUACGUGGUAGCAGGAUCAUUGGUGGUAACUUUUCCGGCUAAUGAUUCAUCAAAUCAAAAUAUCAAUCUUUUCAUACUCAAUGAUGAACUUGUCGAAGAGAAAGGUCUUGAAACUAUUAUCCUUACGAUCCGAAACGACGCUGCAUUUGAUGCUAAGGUCAACUUCUCGUCUCACACAGUCCAAAUAGCCGAUGAUGACGUCAGUAUUAAUUGUCAAAACACCCAGGUCAGUGAGUCUGCGCCAACAGCUACAGUCAGAGUAACCAUUUCCGGGUCAUCACAAGCCUUAAGUGUUACCCA